ensembl:lncRNA
CCAUUCCAUUUGUCUCUCGUGUCGGAAGGGGAAUUCCAGAUGUCUGAUGACUGCAAACAUGACCCCCCCACCCCCCUCCUCCUCCUCCUCCUCUUCCUCGUCCUCCAGGCUACUCGUCGGCUGAUGUCACGGGCGGCGGAGGGGAUCCUAAACGAGGAGUAAUUCCUGGCGACAAGCUCGGAGGCGCACGGCGAUCCGCGUUUGUUCUCCCUUUCUCAUCUUUCCUCCCUCGGUCUCUCUCGCUCUAUUCCUCUUUCUGGCUGCCUCCAGUGAGCCUGAUAAAGAAGGGAAAAAAAAAACUCUUCACAGCAGGACUCCACCACUCUGUUGCUAUGGCAAACACAUGCCAGUGUCCGCAAAGAAAUUGUCCGCAUACAAAUUAGCAUCCGGACGCUACUGCAGGCAGAAAUGCACUGGGCUGCCUGCCUUGACAAGCAAUCUUAGUGUUUGUCACUGGAAAUGUCAUCAAUUUCCAUUUGCGGAUGAUUUUGUGAGAUUGUCAUCUUUCCUGCCUAGAAUGAGCCAUUUGUAUCUACAUAAGGAGUGGGUCCUCUUUCAUGGAACCUGCCAUGUUGCACCAUAGGUACCUGCACACGCUUGUAAAGUUACCCAACACAUCUUGAUGUACCAUCUGCACACCGAUGUCCCCAGAUCCCUGCGGUCAGCACAUGCAGGGAGUAUUCGACAUCACCUGUGACUUUACGUGACAUAAUGGAGUCGAUGAGCCAAGAUCCUUCUCAGAAUCAUCCAGGAUUUCCAUCCAAUGUCUCUGUGCUGUGAAGGGACUUCUAAUGCUCCUUAACCCAGAAGCUGUUGAUGGCGGUCGGCCCAAAUAUGAAGCUAACGGAUAACAGCAUUGAACCAACUGAUGAGGUUACGCUGAAGAAAUGCUGAAUGUCAGUCUCUGUUCACCUCAAGGCCGGGGACGAUCUGUCAGAAUGGAUGUUUGAGGUCACAUGAAACGUUUAGGUUGAAAUUGCCCCA